rnacentral:rRNA from 1 species
GUCAAGUCAUCAUGGCCCUUAUGUCCAGGGCUACACACGUGCUACAAUGGGCGAGACAGAGCGACGCGAAGCCGCGAGGUGGAGCAAAUCGCAGAAAAUCGCCCUCAGUUCGGAUUGGAGUCUGAAACCCGACUCCAUGAAGGUGGAAUCGCUAGUAAUCGCGCAUCAGCAUGGCGCGGUGAAUACGUUCCCGGGCCUU